rnacentral:rRNA from 1 species
CCUACGGGUGGCAGCAGUGAGGAAUAUUGGUCAAUGGGCUUACGCCUGAACCAGCCAAGUCGCGUGAGGGAAGACUGCCCUAUGGGUUGUAAACCUCUUUUGUCAGGGAGCAACGCCGGCUACGUGUAGCCGGACUGAGAGUACCUGAAGAAAAAGCAUCGGCUAACUCCGUGCCAGCAGCCGCGGUAAUACGGAGGAUGCGAGCGUUAUCCGGAUUUAUUGGGUUUAAAGGGUGCGUAGGCGGAAUGCCAAGUCAGCGGGAAAAUCGCGGGGCUCAACCUCGCUCCGCCGUUGAAACUGGCGUUCUUGAGUGGGCGAGAAGUAUGUGGAAUGCGUGGUGUAGCGGUGAAAUGCAUAGAUAUCACGCAGAACUCCGAUUGCGAAGGCAGCAUACCGGCGCCCAACUGACGCUGAAGCACGAAAGCGUGGGUAUCGAAUAGGAUUAGAUACCCCAGUAGUC